UGCCAGACUCCUACGGGAGGCAGCAGUGGGGAAUAUUGGGCAAUGGGCGCAAGCCUGACCCAGCAACGCCGCGUGAAGGAAGAAGGCUUUCGGGUUGUAAACUUCUUUUCUGGGGGACGAACAAAUGACGGUACCCCAGGAAUAAGCCACGGCUAACUACGUGCCAGCAGCCGCGGUAAUACGUAGGUGGCAAGCGUUAUCCGGAUUUAUUGGGUGUAAAGGGCGUGUAGGCGGGAAUGCAAGUCAGAUGUGAAAACUAUGGGCUCAACCCAUAGCCUGCAUUUGAAACUGUAUUUCUUGAGUGCUGGAGAGGCAAUCGGAAUUCCGUGUGUAGCGGUGAAAUGCGUAGAUAUACGGAGGAACACCAGUGGCGAAGGCGGAUUGCUGGACAGUAACUGACGCUGAAGCACGAAAGCGUGGGUAUCGAACAGGAUUAGAUACCCGUGUAC
rnacentral:rRNA from 1 species